UGGCAAUUGUGCUGGAUCUCACAGAUUCUGAUAGAGAGAACUGGGGGUAGUGUGGGUAGGGAAAGGAUCUCUGGCAGAGGAAACUGCACGAACAAAGACAGAGGCUAGGAAGUAAAAGGUGGGAGAAGAAAGGGUAGAAAGAAAAGGUUUGGGAGGUGGAGGGGUCUGUGCUAUUUCCUGGUCCUGGUUAAUAGUGUGGCCUUUCACAGUUUCUUCGUUAGUAAAUGAGAAGGAACACUUCCCUUGCGGGCUGGUUUUGAGAAUUAACAGAGAGCCCAUAUAAACCUGGCUACCACCUGAUGAUCCACCAAUAAAUGCUCUUUUUCUCCCCGGGGAAGUGAGAACACUUGUUCUCAGCCUUCACUGGGCAUCGGAAUCUCCUAGAGAGCUUCUAAAAAGACGGAUUCCUGACCUUCCUUUCCCCAAGGGCAGGUGUCAGGGUUAGAGGCAGAAUUAGGGAGCCUGGGAACAACCAGCAACACACACACACACACACACACACACACACACACACCACACACACCACACAUACCACACACACUACACACACACAAAACACACGUACCACACACACCACACAUACCACAAUGCACACCCCACACAUACACAACUCACACAUCAGACAUGCACCACACAUACCCCACACACAUACACAAUACACACACCACACAUACCAUACACACCACACGUACCACACUGUACACACACAACACACGUACCACACACACCACAACACAACGCAAACCCCACACGUACACAACACACACAUCAGACACACACAAACACAAACAUUACAUACUCCACACACAUUACACCACACACACGUACACACUCCCCAGGUAGGGCCCUCUCCAGCACCCUAAGGACAGUGCGUUGAACCCCAGGCCAGUCAGCCCAGCGGGAAGAGCUGAGAAGGGACCAGAGGCCAGUGAGGGAGGAAAGACCCACAGUCCUGCAGGGCGCAGAGAACCCCUAAGGGCUGGCUCCUCCAGACCUGCAGGAGAACAGGAAGGAGAGAGGCAGGAGACGUGAGCCUGCAACAGAGCUGACUCAGGCAGGGGCGGGAUCCUCCCGGUCAAGGGGAGGAGAGGAGGGCUCCUCAGAAGGGGGAAGUAGCGUCAGUAAAGGAGAGGCGGGGACGGGAUGGAGGCUCUUCUGAAGCAAGCAGCAGAUCCAUGCUGGAAGGGUAGGGUCUGAGUGCCAAGACCUCCGCGUGAAGACAAUGACCUUGAAAAAGAACAACAUGAAACCACGGAGGGUUUGAAUAUAGGACACUGGAAAGAAUAGUCCCACAGAAGGGCGAAGAGUGAACCAGAGGGAGAAGGGCCUGGAAGGGGGCGGUGGCCAUGGAAAUGGAGAAGGACAAAUCCCAGCGAGUCUUUAGUGGAGGAAG
rnacentral:lncRNA from 10 species